UGGAGGAUUUUUUGGACAGCCUUAGGGAUCUUGGGUUGGGCAGCCACGAAAAAGUUCUCUUUGAGCUCUCUCUCCACCUCUAAAGCCACUUGGAAGAUGUCCUCUAUGGUGUCGAAUUUAUGAAGCAUUAUGCGAGUGGAGAUGUCCUUGUUUAAACCAACCUUGAAGCACACAAUGUCAAGAAUUACUUGCUCUACCCGGUGGUCAAGUUUCAAUAUCAAUUGUUGAAAUUCAUCAUAGCAAGCCAUGACACUUUUUCUCCCUUGCCUCAAAUUAUAUAAUUUGGCAAGGAACUCAUGCCUAUAAGUCUCAGGAAAGUACCUUUACCGCAUAAGGAUCUUCAACCAAAAUCAAGGAGGAGGUUGUCCCCUGAUCACCUCAUU
rnacentral:lncRNA from 1 species